AAAUUGAAGAGUUUGAUCAUGGCUCAGAUUGAACGCUGGCGGCAGGCCUAACACAUGCAAGUCGAGCGGAAACGGCAGCAUUGAAGCUUCGGUGGAUUUGCUGGACGUCGAGCGGCGGACGGGUGAGUAACGGCUGGGAACCUGCCCUGACGAGGGGGAUAACCGUUGGAAACGACGGCUAAUACCGCAUAAUGUCUUCGGACCAAAGGUGGCCUCUACAUGUAAGCUAUCGCGUUGGGAUGGGCCCAGUUAGGAUUAGCUAGUUGGUAAGGUAAUGGCUUACCAAGGCGACGAUCCUUAGCUGGUUUGAGAGGAUGAUCAGCCACACUGGGACUGAGACACGGCCCAGACUCCUACGGGAGGCAGCAGUGGGGAAUAUUGCACAAUGGGGGAGACCCUGAUGCAGCCAUGCCGCGUGUGUGAAGAAGGCCUUCGGGUUGUAAAGCACUUUCAGCAGUGAGGAAGGUGGUGUAC
rnacentral:rRNA from 1 species